rnacentral:lncRNA from 10 species
GGAUCAGCUAACACUGGGAUGACUGCUGGCCUGGCUUUUCAUGACAUGGGUAAUUUCCUAGAUGUGAAAUAUUUGUUUCAAAAUCUAUCAGCAUUGGGGUGGAGCCAAGAUGGCCGAAUAAGAACAGCUCCGGUCUACAGCUCCCAGCGUGAGUUACGCAGAAGACGGGUGAUUUCUGCAUUUCCAUCUGAGGUACCGGGUUCAUCUCACUAGGGAGUGCCAGACAGUGGGUGCAGGACAGUGGGUGCAGUGCACCAGGCAUGAGCCGAGGCAGGGCAAGGCAUUGCCUCACUCGGGAAGUGCAAGGGGUCAGGGAGUUCCCUUUCCUAGUCAAAGAAAGGGGUGACAGAUGGCACCUGGAAAAUUGGGUCACUCCCACCCUAAUACUGUGCUUUUCCAAUGGGCUUAAAAAACGGCACACCAGGAGAUUAUAAACUGCACCUGGCUUGGAGGGUCCUACGCCCACGGAGUCUUGCUCAUUGCUAGCA